rnacentral:lncRNA from 1 species
AGACAGCAUUUUAUUUGGAUAAUAAUUAUAGUACUAAAUUUGUUAAUUAAGCUCUAAAACCCUUAAGAAAAAAGAAAUUUAAAAGCAUCUUGUCUUCUUUCAUACCCAGCACAUCAUUGCUGCAUUCAGAGUUCAAGUAUAACAGAAUAUGUAAACAGUUUAAUGCAGUAACAUUGCACUCAUUUGGGGAAGAGAGUAGAGAGGAAUGGGGCCCUUGUUCCUCAGAACCAAGGCUUCUGUUCAAAAGCUUCUUUAAAUACUUGAGUGCUAGCAUUCUUAAAUACGCAGAACAAGCAGCUUUGGUGGAAGGGUUUUGAUCUCCUGAGCAUACACACUCCUACAUUCAAGGUAUGUUUCAUUCAAGAGACCUGCGGUUAUAUAUUCAAGUAGGCAGCUGCACAUAAGACCGCUUUCUUCAUUCUAGCGGUUUUUCCCCUAGAGCAAGCUUUAGCAGUUACUACACAUUGUAAACAGUUCUUAAUGGAUAGGCAGAGACAGCACCCCUAGUGGACUCCAAGCUCAAAAUUACCAACUUAAUUUCCUCCUAGUUCUAUAAUCUCAUUCCACUCCAAAAGGUCAAAGUUAAAAAUAUGCACCAAGUGCAGAGUGCAUCAACCUUUACCCUCCUUUCAAAAGAUUUUUACCACCCUAUUGUGCAAUAUUUAUCAGGAAACCGCUAGUGACCUUGCUACCAGUAUGAUGAUUGUGUUUCUCUUCAAACAGGAUAGAGCUCUUUGUAGCUAUCAGGCUCAUUACAUUACAAAUACAUAUCCAUCCGGCUGAAGAUAACUACAACAGAUAUCUAAUCCUGACACAGUGUGCUCCAAGGUUUCUCUCCCUCCCUUUCUGUCCCAUUCUGCAUUAGACACCAGGCCAGAAGGGCUUAAAUUCUGCUUCCAAGUAACACAUUCUGACUUAGAACAGGAAUUGACAGGUAGAUGUAGUGCUGAACUUGAUCAUACUUCCCUCACCACUUCUUCCCACUUCAGAAACAUUUAGAGUCUAAGACUUCUAAAAGUAAAAGUAAGCAAGAAACUAACUGUUGUUUUAGGUCAGAAUAUUCUAGUAUAUUGAGGCUGGAAGUCCUAAUUGCCUAUGAAAAGGGUUAGAGCAGAAACUGCUUACUUUUAACUAUGCAUCUGAUUGUCAGGGCUGCUGGACUAAAGGUUGGUAAAAAAUAAAAAAAAAAGAAAAAGAAUAGGUAGAUGUGCUUCCCUGCCUCCACAGUACUGUUCAACCUAUUUUCAGCACCAGUACAAGACACUGCUAGGUACCUAGACAUCCCAAUUGCUGUGAAGUCCCACUCUUUGGAUUACUAAGUUAAACCUCAGGAGAAAGACAAUUGUAUCCAGUAUUUGCC